ensembl:lncRNA
UGAUCAUGGGAUGUUUUUAAACUAUCCGAUAGCCAAUAGCGGGAAAAAUAGCCUUUAUCGGCCGAUACAUCGGUGCAGCUCUAAUAAAUAUGUUUAUGUACAAGUGAUUGUGCAUUUUAUAUGAUAAGUAUAUACAACUGCGUUAUGCUGAAAUUGCUUGUGAACUAAAAGGGAUUUUUUGUAAACCUUGAUAUCCUCCAAUACGAGGGAAUAUUGUUAUUGGGAAACUUAGCCUGUAAGGUUGGGUGUUACUACAUCCUAGAUAAUAGAAUGCUAAGGCCCGCCUCUUAGCUGUUCACGCUAGAUAGGGAGAUGGGAAGUGAUACCAGUGGUAACUGAAUCAUCGUAGCAGUAUAUUGAUACUUACUUUAUGUUACGGGUGUAAACUACUAACAGUGUGGAAUACCACAAGAGAGUCUAAUUCGAAGGGCAUGCUCAAGCUAACGUGCCAUUCCAUUGCACUGUGAGUUUAUGUUCCGUUAACCUAUAUGCUAAUGUCCUCCAUUUUAUGCCCAUUGACCUCAAUGUAAACAGCACUGGCAACUGCACCCUGUGCUACUGUAAGCUAAAUGUAGGCUAAUGGCUAAAGCGUAUUAUCCCUGUUAACAUACUAGAAAUGUAUUUAAUUGUAAAACAGGAUAUUUCAUGGUAUUCCGGACUACUGCUGCUGGUCAGGUUUUAUUGUUGGAUUCAGAUGUUGAGUGAUCGCGGUUAUUGGUGGAGUCCGGACCGGCGGUGGAGAUUCUGGAGAUCCUUGGAGAAACUGUUCCAGUACUGGAUGGCGAGCCAACCCCACCUGAUAUAGAGCCUGGUUGUAGCUAGGAGGUUGCAACCUAGAGACACUGAGCCAGAGAGCCUUGAUCUAUUUCCCCUUGGCCCAAGGUGUCAGGUAGAACUGUGUGCAAAUGACACUUGCUUUCCCUGGAGGAAGCCACCCACCUUGCUUUAAUCCAAUAUUGGUGCAAUCAAUGGACUGUGAACUUUAUUUUAACAGACCCUGGUCUAGUCUAAUUUGAGUGCACUCACAACUGCACUGAGCUUUUAUUAUUUUGACACUUUUCUUCUUUUGUAUAUUUGGGUUUCCACUUCUCCAUUUUAUUACUUUGCCAUUGCACUUGUUCUUAUUGUUCAUUGCAGUUAAUAUAUGCAGUUAAACUUAUCUCUGUGCCUUGUGUUGUUUUUUCACUGUUGUAAUCCAAUUUUUGGCUUCAAUGAGUGAACCUAUGAUCUUCUGAUCUGGACAAAUUCUAAACGUCUAAAUACCUUGACUACUCAUUACUGUCAGGAGAAUCUGUGGUUACCUAUAAUAGUGGCCAGUCAAAAUUGUGUUCUUUCCCUUUUUGUUUCUUGUAAUAUACGCACUCUCUGUUCUCUAUCUUCUUCUUGGCUUUAUCCACUCAAAUUCUGGAUCUCUUACAUGCUCCACACUCAUAUAAAGCACCAUACAAUCAGGCCACCUCAUCUUUGAUCUGCUACUUUUCUCUGACUUUUCUCAUACUUUUUGUUACCUUCACUAUGUAAUCAUUCUUUUUUCCUUUCUGUUAGCAAUUGUCUUUUCCCUAGGUUAACUAUAUAAAAUUGCUCUUUCCAAAGAUGAUCGCUAACUCCUUGUGUUUCUUGUAAUACUUGAUUUAAUCUUGCAUCCAUUCACUUCUUUAAUUCUUAGUUUAAUGUACUUCUAUAAUCAAAGAAAUAACACCUCUCAUAAAGAUGAUGACUUUUACUUUCAUGUUCACUUAAUCUAUCAAAAUGAGUUCUAGCCUGACGGCUGCUAAAAAAAAAACUAGAACUCCAAGCGGCAAAGAUUAAUUCUUCUCCCUUCCUGAAUUGCUUUUCUUAAUACACUUUGGGUGAACGGAAAAAAGUCCUCUAG